rnacentral:rRNA from 1 species
GGACGAACGCUGGCGGCGUGCUUAACCCAUGCAAGUCGAACGGAAAGGCCCUGCUUUUGUGGGGUGCUCGAGUGGCGAACGGGUGAGUAACACGUGAGUAACCUGCCCUUGACUUUGGGAUAACUUCAGGAAACUGGGGCUAAUACCGGAUAGGAGCUCCUGCUGCAUGGUGGGGGUUGGAAAGUUUCGGCGGUUGGGGAUGGACUCGCGGCUUAUCAGCUUGUUGGUGGGGUAGUGGCUUACCAAGGCUUUGACGGGUAGCCGGCCUGAGAGGGUGACCGGCCACAUUGGGACUGAGAUACGGCCCAGACUCCUACGGGAGGCAGCAGUGGGGGAUAUUGCACAAUGGGCGGAAGCCUGAUGCAGCAACGCCGCGUGCGGGAUGACGGCCUUCGGGUUGUAAACCGCUUUCGCCUGUGACGAAGCGUGAGGGACGGUAAUGGGUAAAGAAGCACCGGCGAACUACGU